CGUUUGUGCCGCUAAUUACGGGCGGGGGGCGUGGCCACGCUAAUUAAUCCCAGAAAUGGGCGGGGGCUUCAUUGCCCUUUUAAGGCGGCGUUGCCCUUUUAAGAUGGCGUUGCCCUUUUAAGAAGCCGUUGCCCUUUUAAGAAUCCGUUGCGCUUAUUAGAAGGCAUUGCCCUUUUAAGAAAGCAUUGCCCUUUUAAGAAGCCAUUGCCCUUUUAAGCAAUCGCUGCCUUUUUAAGAAGGCGUUGCCGCUUUAAGAAGCCGUUGCCCUUUUAAGAAGGCGUUGCCGCUAUAGGAACACGUUGCCGCUUUAAGAGGGAGCUGCCGCUUUAAGGCUGCUCCCAGUGGGCCCCACCCGAGGCUUCAAGGCUCCGCCCCCUCCCAGUUCAGCCCAGUCCCCUCCCAGUUCAUCCCAGUAACCCCAAAUCCCAUCCCAAUCCUCCUCCCUCUGUACUGGUUUGUACUGGGAGCCUUUGGAGCGCAGGGUGGGGGUCAGGACGCGGCACUGGCAGUCACUGGGAGGGUUUGGAUUCACUGGUUUCAACUGGGAGACGCGGGGCCGGUUUUUCCCCGCCUCCUGCUUACCAUUGGUCGCUCUCUGGCAUUCCCGCGUUUCUAUUGGUUAGUAGCGCCGCCACUCAUCUCAUCAUUCCCGCCUCUCCUCUUUUCCCGCCCCUCGCUUCUAUUGGCCGGCGGUUUUCCCGCCCCGCGUUCUCAUUGGCUCACUGUUUUCCCGCCCCUCGCUCCUAUUGGCCGGCGCUGUGGGCGGGGGCGUGCCCAAGCGAGGAGCGGCGGGAAUCCCGUGAGGGGAGGCGGCGGCCGGGGCGGAAUUUUGGGGCAAAAUUGGGGAAAAUCGGAGCCGGGAACGCCGCGAAGGAGCCGGGAAAGGCUCCCGAGGGCUCCCGGUGCAUUUUGGGGCCCUUUCGGGGCGAACUCAGCGGCUUCGGGGCGGUUCUGAGGGAGAGCCGGGGGGUGAGCGCGGGCUCCGCGCUCCCUGAGGGGAUUCGCGCUCCUGAGGGGAUUUGGGG
rnacentral:lncRNA from 1 species